rnacentral:rRNA from 1 species
GAUCCUGGCUCAGACUCAAGUCGUAACAAGGUAGCCGUAGAGUUUGAUCCUGGCUCAGACUCAAGGCGUAACCAGGCCACCGUACUGGUAUAACUCCGGGAAACCGGGGCUAAUACCGGAUAACAUUUUGAACCGCAUGGUUCGAAAUUGAAAGGCGGCUUCGGCUGUCACUUAUGGAUGGACCCGCGUCGCAUUAGCUAGUUGGUGAGGUAACGGCUCACCAAGGUGACGAUGCGUAACCGACCUGAGAGGGUGAUCGGCCACACUGGGACUGAGACACGGCCCAGACUCCUACGGGAGGCAGCAAUAGGGAAUCUUCCGCAAUGGACGAAAGUCUGACGGAGCAACGCCGCGUGAGUGAUGAAGGCUUUCGGGUCGUAAAACUCUGUUGUUAGGGAAGAACAAGUGCUAGUUGAAUAAGCUGGCACCUUGACGGUACCUAACCAGAAAGCCACGGCUAACUACGUGCCACCAGCCGCGGUAAUACGUAUGUGGCAAGCGGUAUCCGGAAUUAUUGGGCGUAAAGCGCGCGCAGGUGGGUUCUUAAGUCUGAUGUGAAAGCCCACGGCUCAACCGUGGAGGGUCAUUGGAAACUGGGAGACUUGAGUGCAGAAUAGGAAAGUGGAAUUCCAUGUGUAGCGGUGAAAUGCGUAGAGAUAUGGAGGAACACCAGUGUCGACUGCGACUUUCUGGUCUGUAACUGACACUGAGGCGCGAAAGCGUGUGGA